UGGGGAAUAUUGCACAAUGGGGGAAACCCUGAUGCAGCGACGCCGCGUGAGUGAAGAAGUAUUUCGGUAUGUAAAGCUCUAUCAGCAGGGAAGAUAAUGACAGUACCUGAAUAAGAAGCCCCGGCUAACUACGUGCCAGCAGCCGCGGUAAUACGUAGGGGGCAAGCGUUAUCCGGAUUUACUGGGUGUAAAGGGAGCGUAGACGGCGAGGCAAGUCAGAUGUGAAAGACCGGGGCUCAACCCCGGAGCUGCAUUUGAAACUGUCUGGCUGGAGUGCAGGAGAGGUAAGUGGAAUUCCUAGUGUAGCGGUGAAAUGCGUAGAUAUUAGGAGGAACACCAGUGGCGAAGGCGGCUUGCUGGACGAUGACUGACGCUGAGGCUCGAAAGCGUGGGGAGCAAACAGG
rnacentral:rRNA from 1 species